UAAUGUAUGGGGAUCUGCCCGAUAGAGGGGGAUAACUACUGGAAACGGUGGCCAAUACCGCAUAAUGUCUACGGACCAAAGCAGGGGCUCUUCGGACCUUGCACUAUCGGAUGAACCCAUAUGGGAUUAGCUAGUAGGUGGGGUAAAGGCUCACCUAGGCGACGAUCUCUAGCUGGUCUGAGAGGAUGAUCAGCCACACUGGGACUGAGACACGGCCCAG
rnacentral:rRNA from 1 species